rnacentral:lncRNA from 1 species
ACCUAGGGUUUAGUUCACCAUAACCAUGGUGAAACUAGAUGAAAUAUGAUGAAAGAAUGGAAGAAAUAACCCAAAACUUGGUAGAUUUAAGCCUAAGCAUCCAAAGAUCCUCCUCCAAGGUGUGUGGAAUAGCUCUGGACGUUUCUCUCUGCCAAAAGAAUAUGUUCUGAUUCGCACUGGGGCUAUAUAUAAGCUUAAAAAGAUAACAAAAAGAUUACAGAAUCUAGCUAAUAAAAACAGACAACCGCCCAGGUGCCUAAGUAAACCGCUCAAUGGUUUCCCCUCUAGCCGUUUGGACCGCGCAGCGGUCAGUUUUACCGCUGAGCGGUUUCCCUCUAAUCGCUCUAGACGCUUAGCAGUCCAUUCUGACGCUCAGCGGUUCUCUUGACCCUUCUUUUCAUCAUUUUUCUUCUUCUUUCAUGGGUCUAAGUCCACCUUACUUCACUUCCAUCAUUAAUUCACCUUAAAACCCUGCAAAACAAUGUAAAAACAAACAUAAUAUUUCUAAAACCAACUUUUGACUCUCACAUGACUCAACUAA